rnacentral:lncRNA from 1 species
CCAUCUUCCGUCCUUGUCUAAAGGGGGGUUGAAGCGUCUCCCUUUGGCCAUUUCCUGCAGGAAGCUGAAGGUGGCUGAGGCUGGCUCCCUUACCUCUCCAUUGCCUCAUAAGCUCUACACAUCUGGGAAGCCACUCCUCCUCCUUGUUCCUGAUCUUUAAUUCUCAGCCUCUACCAGGAGGGACUCCAGGAGUGCCCACGGUUGUCAUGGAAUCAGAGCCCCCAUCACAGUGGGGAGCAGUGCAGGUCUUCUAGCCCCCUGAGUCAUAGAAUCAGAGCCCCCAUCACAAUGGGGAGGAGUGCGGAUCUUCUAGCCCUCUGAGGGUCCCUGCUACUGGUGCCUUGCACUGCUGCUCCCCAGUGUAUGAGGCAGACGGCCACCAGGUCCCAGCUGAGGAAGCCCCACAAACAGGUCACACAGCACUGAUGGCUCAGAGAGGUGGGCUCCUGGAUGUGAUGCCUGCGGUGGAGCAGUCUUCUUGCAACCAUGAGGCCAAAAGUCACACGACUGUAAUCAGCUCCCCCACAAGGUCAUUCUGGAACACCAAGGACAGCGCAGACCCCUCCUGGCUCUCCUCAGUAAUGGAUGGAGGCAAUGGUGCAGAUAAUCCAGCCAAAUGAGGCCACUUGGCUCUGCCUGGUCUGUGCCCCGUUCCAGACAGGUGGCAUCAUGUACAUCCCAUCUGGAUGUCCGUCUGGAGUUGGAGGCCGGUCUGUCUGCUCCCUGUGGUCCUCUGGGACGAUAAGCUCCUCCAGAGAUGGUCAGCUGCUCUUGGAAAUGAAGAUUUUAAGCCAAACAACUACUCCUCUUCUCCCCACUCUGACAUCACCAGCAAGAGGGCAGAGGCUUAACCUCAGAGAAGGUGAACCUGAAUGUCUUCACAGGAAGCUAUUGAAAGAUGUGCUUCUAACAACAAGGAUGGGAUGCAGGAAACAGUAGGAGAAAGAAGGGAAGUCUCAGGAUGGUGGAAGAGGAAAGCCACAGGAUGCAGUGGUACAAGGGAACACUCACUCCAGACUGGAGCAGGAGGGCACUGGGCUUCUGGAAAAAGAGGAAAAAGAGGAAAGACUAAAACAAAACAAAAAUCACGCCUGUGCUGCUCAACGAGUAAGCAGAGCAUUAAGGAGAACGUCAUGAUGAUACAUAGAAAACCUGGCAAACGUAAAGUUGAUGCCAUUGUUAACUCCAGAAAAAUGUGGUGAGUAUUUCAGAAAAGAGACAAGCGACUAGAGCACAUCUGGCUCAGCAGUUGACAAUAUUUGUAAAGUUACAAUAAAGAAAACACUUGUUUUUCAUUCAGCAAAAACUACAUGGGGUGGGGAUGGGGAGUGUGUAUACAGAAAGGUAGGAAGUUGGAUAUAAUUAAGUCUUCAUCUGUCUGACUUACCAUGUCUGGAAAUCACAAGAUAAUUUAAAAAACUCAUAAAUCAAGAAAUAGCUGCCCCAAACAAUUGAAAGCAGAAGCUCAGACAGAUAUUUGUACAUCAAUGUUUAUAGCAGCAUUACUCACACAGCCAAACGG